CAUGAUGAUGUCAUAAGUGAUGUCACAAAUGACGUCAUAAGCAAGUAUUCUCGUUCUUUUGAUCUAGGCAUGACAGUUGUGAAAAUAUCGACUUGUUGACUGCUUUGUUGAUCUUGUCACAAAAUUGUGUUACCGUAAAAAAUACAGGAUAAAGGAAGGGAUUGUUACAUCUAUGCAGCAACUUGUCAACGAAUAGUCAAGGUGAUGGCGGAUGUUUUGAGCGCACAGUAACAAACACUGGUCUAAGUGUAUCAACGCAGGAAGCUACAAGAUACAUGUGAUUACAUCUGCUGAUCGGAAGGAGUUGCUGAGGAUGUAAAAAAACAAGCCAUAUUUUGGGGAAAUGGAGUAGGAAGACGUUGGCUGGUUGCAGUGGCAUUUUAACAGUA